rnacentral:misc_RNA from 1 species
CAAUAAUACACAAACAACAAUAGUAUUAUAUAAUUGUGAAAGAAAAAAAGCAAAAACAGAAGAAGAAUUGGACAAGGGUCAUCACAUUUUACCUGUCAAUUCAACGACGGAUUCAUUCACAAGCUCUUCGAGCAACUUCUCUUCAAUUUCGACUCCUACAUUGUCUAAUUCAAUUCUCAAGUUUCCAAGCCACAUUUUGCCCAUCACCUCCUUCCCUACCAUUUCCUCAACCACCAGGCUGUUUAAGUCCCCACCAUCAGUAGACAGAUAUUUCAUUUCACUAGAAAACCAUUCCUUCAUCCAGUCCCACACUUGUUCCAAUAAUACUAGUCUAGUUGUUCCCUGUGGUAGAUUAUUAUGGACCCCCAUAUAAGGUAUGGCUUUUUGGAAGUUGUCUGCCCCAUAUUCUGCAAUUUCUAGUAAAGCUGCAUUUACACAAUCGAACACAAGCUUUUGAGUUGAUCUCCUUUGCCUUCGCUUAGACUCGUGUAGUGUCUCCUUCUCAUUCAGAUCAAUGUAUUUUUCUCUGAGUGAUGGGUCCAAAGGGCUUUCAGGAGAAUGCCAUUGCCACAUGGUUGAGAAAGCAUCAGGCUGCACUUCAUCAAGGCCGGCCACGGUUAGUAAUGUUUGAACAAAAGAGAACCAUUCACGUUCUACUUCCUCUGUCCUCUGAGUGGAUGAUGAUGGUCUUACACAAACUGAACUGGCUGUAUCUGCACAAGUAUCAUCCCAUGACAAUGUACGUGCAAUUGAUCCUAUUGGAGGAGAUUUGUCAAUCAAAUUGGACCUUAAAGAGUGAACAGAUAACUCGGCACCAUGACGGUCUGGCUUGAUACCUCCAGAUGAUAUACAUGCUAGAUGGUCAUCCUCUUCAAAUGG